rnacentral:rRNA from 1 species
UACAGAGGGGGCAAGCGUUAUUCGGAAUUAUUGGGCGUAAAGGGCGCGUAGGCGGCCUGGCAAGUGGAAGGUGAAAUCCCUCGGCUUAACCGAGGAACUGCCCUCCAAACUGCUUGGCUUGAGUCCGGGAGAGGUGAGUGGAAUUCCCAGUGUAGCGGUGAAAUGCGUAGAUAUUCGGAAGAACACCAGUGGCGAAGGCGGCUCACUGGACUGGUAUUGACGCUGAGGUGCGAAAGCGUGGGGAGCAAACAGG